rnacentral:rRNA from 1 species
CAGUCGCCGCGGUAAUACGAGGGGUGCAAGCGUUAUUCGGAUUGAUUGGGUGUAAAGGGUGUGCAGACGGCUUAUUAAGUCACUUGUUAAAUUCUUCGGCCUAACUGAAGGUCUGCAAGUGAUACUGAUGAGCUAGAGGGUGGAAGAGAGAAGUGGAAUUCUCGGAGUAGCGGUAAAAUGCGUAGAUCUCGAGAGGAACACCAAUGGCGAAGGCGGCUUCUUGGUCCAUUCCUGACGUUCAUACACGAAAGCGUGGGGAGCAAACAGGAUUAGAUACCCCGGUAGUCCCUGUCUCUUAACA